rnacentral:rRNA from 1 species
AACGAACGCUGGCGGCAGGCCUAACACAUGCAAGUCGAGCGAGGUAGCAAUACCUAGCGGCGGACGGGUGAGUAACGCGUGGGAACGUACCCUUUGCUACGGAAUAGCCCCGGGAAACUGGGAGUAAUACCGUAUGUGCCCUUCGGGGGAAAGAUUUAUCGGCAAAGGAUCGGCCCGCGUUGGAUUAGGUAGUUGGUGGGGUAAUGGCCUACCAAGCCGACGAUCUAUAGCUGGUUUGAGAGGAUGAUCAGCCACACUGGGACUGAGACACGGCCCAGACUCCUACGGGAGGCAGCAGUGGGGAAUCUUAGACAAUGGGCGCAAGCCUGAUCUAGCCAUGCCGCGUGAGUGAUGAAGGCCUUAGGGUUGUAAAGCUCUUUCAGAUGGGAAGAUAAUGACGGUACCAUCAGAAGAAGCCCCGGCUAACUCCGUG